rnacentral:rRNA from 1 species
CAUGCAAGUCAAGGGGGCCUGAGGCGCAAGCCUUGGGCAACCGGCGAACGGGUGCGUAACACGUGAGCAACCUACCGAAUUGUGGGGGAUAGCCGGCCCAACGGCCGGGUAAUACCGCAUACGCUCGAGGCGAGGCAUUUCGACUCGAGGAAAUUUACGGAGCAAUUCGAGGGGCUCGCGGCCUAUCAGCUAGUUGGUGAGGUAACGGCUCACCAAGGCUACGACGGGUAGCUGGUCUGAGAGGAUGGCCAGCCACAUUGGGACUGAGAUACGGCCCAGACUCCUACGGGAGGCAGCAGUGGGGAAUCUUGCGCAAUGGCCUAACGGCUGACGCAGCGACGCCGCGUGAGGGAUGACGCUCUUCGGAGUGUAAACCUCUUUUGUCUGAGACGAACUGUCAGCUUUAGCUGAUUUGACGGUAUCGGGCGAAUAAGCACCGGCUAACUCCGUGCCAGCAGCCGCGGUAAUACGGGGGGUGCGAGCGUUGUCCGGAAUCACUGGGCGUAAAGGGCGCGUAGGUGGUCUUAUAAGGGUGUGGUGAAAGCCCGGGGCUCAACCCCGGGUCGGCCGUGCCGACUGUGAGACUAGAGUGCUGUAGGGGCAGGCGGAAUUCCGGGUGUAGCGGUGGAAUGCGUAGAGAUCCGGAGGAAGACCGGUGGCGAAGGCGGCCUGCUGGGCAGAUACUGACACUGAGGCGCGACAGCGUGGGGAGCAAACAGGAUUAGAUACCCUGGUAGUCCACGCCGUAAACGAUGGGUACUAGGUGCCUGGGGGAGCGACCCCUUGGGUGCCGGCGCUAACGCAGGAAGUACCCCGCCUGGGGAGUACGGCCGCAAGGCUGAAACUCAAAGGAAUUGACGGGGGCCCGCACAAGCGGUGGAGCAUGUGGUUUAAUUCGACGCAACGCGAAGAACCUUACCUAGGCUUGACAUGCAUGGGAAACUCCUCAGAAACGAGGAGCCUCCUUCGGGAUCCAUGCACAGGUGCUGCAUGGCUGUCGUCAGCUCGUGUC